AUACGGAGGGUGCAAGCGUUAUCCGGAAUCAUUGGGUUUAAAGGGUCCGCAGGCGGGACUGUAAGUCAGUGGUGAAAAGCGGUAGCUCAACUAUCGUCGUGCCAUUGAUACUGCAGUCCUUGAAUUCGAUUGGAGUGGGCGGAAUAUGUCAUGUAGCGGUGAAAUGCUUAGAUAUGACAUAGAACACCGAUAGCGAAGGCAGCUCACUAAGUCUGAAUUGACGCUCAUGGACGAAAGCGCGGGUAGCAAACAGGAUUAGAUACCCUGGUAGUCCGCGCCGUAAACGAUGAUUACUCGUUGUCAGCUCUUCGGAGUUGGUGACCAAGCGAAAGUGAUAAGUAAUCCACCUGGGGAGUACGCUCGCAAGGGUGAA
rnacentral:rRNA from 1 species